UAUUUCCUCUUUUCCUUUGUCCCUUUUUUCCUUUUGCCCUUUUUUCCUUUUUUUUCCUUUAACAUACAUGUCUAGUAGUGGUCCUAGAUUCUGCAACAACGUUUGAUUAAAAUAGGCCAAUUCAUGGCUAGUCAGAAGCCUUUUCAAUUUGUUGAGAAAAAUUAUGUCUUUGGAUUAGAUAGAAAGAUAUCUCCUGCAAUUUUAACUUAACGAAUAACGAGUAUUGAGCGAAUAAUAUACAGUUCGGCAAAAACUAAAUGACUUUUCAAGAAAAAAGAAAAAGAAAAAAAAAUGACUACUUUAGUAUACAAAAGGGAUAAUAAAAGAAAAAUACAUAGGAUUUUUUCAUUUUUUUGAUUUAUAUCAAUACACUAAUUUAUAAUUUAUUCGCAAUUAUCCCACGAAUUAGAAAUUCACCGCCAAAUCAAAGCUGGAAUGCCAAUGUGGUAGCUGGAAUCACCACUCUCUCUC
rnacentral:lncRNA from 1 species